AAUCAACGCUGGCGGCGUGCCUCAGACAUGCAAGUCGAACGAUUAAAGCUCUCUUCGGAGAGUGUAUAGAGUGGCGCACGGGUGAGUAACACGUAAGUAAUCUACCCUCGAGUGGGGAAUAACAACCGGAAACGGUUGCUAAUACCGCAUAAUGCAGCGGCACCGCAAGGUGACAGUUGUUAAAGAUUUAUCGCUUGAGGAGGAGCUUGCGGCAGAUUAGCUAGUUGGUAGGGUAACGGCUUACCAAGGCUACGAUCUGUAACCGGUCUAAGAGGACGGUCGGUCACACUGACACUGAAUAACGGGUCAGACUCCUACGGGAGGCAGCAGUCGGGAAUUUUGGGCAAUGGGCGAAAGCCUGACGCAGCCAAUCCGCGUGGGUGAUGAAGGCCUUCGGUUGUAAGACCUGUCGUGAGGGACGGAAG
rnacentral:rRNA from 1 species